AUUGAACGCUGGCGGCAUGCCUUACACAUGCAAGUCGAACGGCAGCACGGGAGCAAUCCUGGUGGCGAGUGGCGAACGGAUGAGUAAUAUAUCGGAACGUGCCCAGUCGUGGGGGAUAACGUAGCGAAAGCUACGCUAAUACCGCAUACGAUCUAAGGAUGAAAGCGGGGGAUCGCAAGACCUCGCGCGAUUGGAGCGGCCGAUGGCAGAUUAGGUAGUUGGUAGGGUAAAGGCCUACCAAGCCGACGAUCUGUAGCUGGUCUGAGAGGAUGAUCAGCCACACUGGGACUGAGACACGGCCCAGACUCCUACGGGAGGCAGCAGUGGGGAAUCUUGGACAAUGGACGCAAGUCUGAUCCAGCCAUUCCGCGUGCAGGAUGAAGGCCCUCGGGUUGUAAACUGCUUUUGUACAGAACGAAAAGGCUCUGGUUAAUACCUAGGGCUCAUGACGGUACUGUAAGAAUAAGCACCGGCUAACUACGUGCCAGCAGCCGCCGUAA
rnacentral:rRNA from 1 species